rnacentral:rRNA from 1 species
AGCUCCAAUAGCGUAUAUUAAAGUUGUUGCAGUUAAAAAGCUCGUAGUUGGAUUUCGGAAGGUCCUUAGUAAUCCGCCCCUUCGGGGAGCGGGUUGCUGGCCUCCUAUGUUCCUAACGGUCCUCAUCCGCGAGGGUGGGGAAUCAACCGCUAGGAUCGUUUACUUUGAGGAAAUUAGAGUGUUCAAAGCAGGCGUAACUCGCCUCCGAAUACGUUAGCAUGGGAUAAUGGAAUACGACUUCGGUCUUGUUUCGUUGGUUUCGCUUGGCUGAAGUAAUGAUUGAUAGGGACAGUUGGGGGCAUUAGUAUUUAGUUGUCAGAGGUGAAAUUCUAGGAUUUACUAAAGACUGACCAAUGCGAAAGCAUUUGCCAAGGAUGUUUUCAUUAAUCAAGAACGAAAGUAGGGGGAUCGAAGACGAUCAGAUACCGUCGUAGUCUCUACCGUAAACUAUGCCGACCAGGGAUCCGGAGAGUUUGCAUGGAUGACUCCCCGGGCACCUUGUGAGAAAUCAUAAGUGUUUGGGUUUUGGGGGGAGUAUGGUCGCAAGGCUGAAACUUAAAGGAAUUGACGGAAGGGCACCACCAGGAGUGGAACCUGCG